AAUGAACGCUGGCGGCGUGCCUAACACAUGCAAGUCGAACGAGAAAGCCCAGCUUGCUGGGCGAGUAAAGUGGCGCACGGGUGAGUAACGCGUGGAUAAUCUACCUUUGUCUGGGGGAUAACCUACCGAAAGGUGGGCUAAUACCGCAUAACGUGAUCGAGUUGCGAUUUGAUCACCAAAGAUGGCCUCUCCUUGGAAGCUAUCAGGUAAAGAUGAGUCCGCGUCCCAUUAGCUAGUUGGUAGGGUAAAGGCUUACCAAGGCGACGAUGGGUAGCUGGUCUGAGAGGAUGGCCAGCCACACUGGAACUGGAACACGGUCCAGACUCCUACGGGAGGCAGCAGUGAGGAAUCUUGCGCAAUGGGGCAACCCUGACGCAGCAACGCCGCGUGAGUGAAGAAGGCCUUCGGGUCGUAAAGCUCUGUCAAGUGGGAAGAAUAGCCUGAAGACGAAUAAUCUUGAGGUAUGACGGUACCACUGGAGGAAGCACCGGCUAACUCCGUGCCAGCAGCCGCGGUAA
rnacentral:rRNA from 1 species